GGCCGCGGGAAUUCGAUUCAGGCCUAACACAUGCAAGUCGAACGGCAGCACGGGGGCAACCCUGGUGGAGAAAGGCGAACGGGUGAGUAAUACAUCGGAACGUGUCCUGUAGUGGGGGAUAGCCCGGCGAAAGCCGGAUUAAUACCGCAUACGCUCUACGGAGGAAAGGGGGGGAUCUUAGGACCUCCCGCUACAGGGGCGGCCGAUGGCAGAUUAGCUAGUUGGUGGGGUAAAGGCCUACCAAGGCGACGAUCUGUAGCUGGUCUGAGAGGACGACCAGCCACACUGGGACUGAGACACGGCCCAGACUCCUACGGGAGGCAGCAGUGGGGAAUUUUGGACAAUGGGGGCAACCCUGAUCCAGCAAGGCCGCGUGUGUGAAGAAGGCCUUCGGGUUGUAAAUUAAUGGGUCCGGAAAGAAAACGCCGUGGUUAAUACCCGUGGCGGAUGACGUACCGGAAGA
rnacentral:rRNA from 1 species